CCUACGGGGGGCAGCAGUAGGGAAUAUUGCUCAAUGGGGGAAACCCUGAAGCAGCAACGCCGCGUGGAGGAUGAAGGUUUUCGGAUUGUAAACUCCUUUUGUUAGAGAAGAUAAUGACGGUAUCUAACGAAUAAGCACCGGCUAACUCCGUGCCAGCAGCCGCGGUAAUACGGAGGGUGCAAGCGUUACUCGGAAUCACUGGGCGUAAAGCGCGCGUAGGCGGGUUAGCAAGUCAGAUGUGAAAUCCUGUGGCUUAACCAUAGAACUGCAUUUGAAACUGUUAGUCUAGAGUAUGGGAGAGGUAGGGGGAAUUCGUGGUGUAGGGGUAAAAUGCGUAGAUAUCAAGAAGAAUACCGAUUGCGAAGGCGACCUGCUAGAACAUAACUGACGCUGAUGCGCGAAAGCGUGGGGAGCAAACAGGAUUAGAUACCCCGGUAGUC
rnacentral:rRNA from 1 species